AGAGUUUGAUCCUGGCUCAGGACGAACGCUGGCGGCGCGCCUAACACAUGCAAGUCGAACGAGCGAGAGAGAGCUUGCUUUCUCAAGCGAGUGGCGAACGGGUGAGUAACGCGUGAGGAACCUGCCUCAAAGAGGGGGACAACAGUUGGAAACGACUGCUAAUACCGCAUAAGCCCACAGCUCGGCAUCGAGCAGAGGGAAAAGGAGCAAUCCGCUUUGAGAUGGCCUCGCGUCCGAUUAGCUAGUUGGUGAGGUAACGGCCCACCAAGGCGACGAUCGGUAGCCGGACUGAGAGGUUGAACGGCCACAUUGGGACUGAGACACGGCCCAGACUCCUACGGGAGGCAGCAGUGGGGAAUAUUGCACAAUGGGGGAAACCCUGAUGCAGCGACGCCGCGUGGAGGAAGAAGGUUUUCGGAUUGUAAACUCCUGUCGUUAGGGACGAUAAUGACGGUACCUAACAAGAAAGCACCGGCUAACUACGUGCCAGCAGCCGCGGUAAAACGUAGGGUGCAAGCGUUGUCCGGAAUUACUGGGUGUAAAGGGAGCGCAGGCGGACCGGCAAGUUGGAAGUGAAAACUAUGGGCUCAACCCAUAAAUUGCUUUCAAAACUGCUGGCCUUGAGUAGUGCAGAGGUAGGUGGAAUUCCCGGUGUAGCGGUGGAAUGCGUAGAUAUCGGGAGGAACACCAGUGGCGAAGGCGACCUACUGGGCACCAACUGACGCUGAGGCUCGAAAGCAUGGGUAGCAAACAGGAUUAGAUACCCUGGUAGUCCAUGCCGUAAACGAUGAUUACUAGGUGUUGGAGGAUUGACCCCUUCAGUGCCGCAGUUAACACAAUAAGUAAUCCACCUGGGGAGUACGACCGCAAGGUUGAAACUCAAAGGAAUUGACGGGGGCC
rnacentral:rRNA from 1 species